UAUGCUUCACAUAUGACGCCCUCUACUAAGGAUGCCACCCAAGAAGAUCAGAUAGUCUACUGUGGGAGCAGAGUAAGUCAUUUUCAGUAUGAAAUUACAGCCACUGUCUGGAUUCAACUCCCUUCAAACACAGUGUGUGAUGAUUCAUCCUUUUCUACUCCUAAGGAAGUUCUGUCUGAUAUGCAAUGGGCUGAACGUCCCUGCCUUGUAUCCAAAGACACGUGAAAGGAGGUGUGUUUCAGGGAACUCCACACAGGAUUAAAGGUUUGCAAAGAGUUGGAUACAACUGUGUGUUUUAUAUUAUGACUUCCCAGAAGGCACUAGUGGUAAAGAAUCUGCCUGCCAAUGCAGAAGACAUAAGAGAUGCGGGUUCAAUCCCUGGCUCGAGAAGAUCCCCUGGAGGAGGAAAUGGCAACCCACUCCCCUAUUCUUGCCUGGAAAAUCCCAUGGACAAAGGAGCUUGUUGGGCUACAGUCCAUUGGGUCACAAAGAGGAGGACACAACUGAGCACACACACACGCACACACAAACUGACUUCAUCUGAACUAACGUGGAAAAUCUAACACAUGUACACAUGUACAUAUUUUUGGUCUUCUGGUACCAUAGUCUUCACUUACGU